rnacentral:sRNA from 1 species
GUUGUCUAACCCUGCCUGUCUGUGAUAACUCUUUAGGCAUUACUUCGAAUAAGUGAAAUUUUGAACAUCAUAUGAAAGCCCUUCUACGAGUGAUUAGCCUAGUCGUGAUUAGCGUGGUGGUGAUUAUUAUCACACCGUGCGGGGCUGCGCUCGGAGGAAGAAAGGCUUAAAAAUCAAGCCUGAAUCUAAAAGAACCCCCGCACCGAAAGGUCCGGGGGUUUUUUUAUGGUCAGGCAUCGGGGCAGUCAAUGAAAGAGGAACAAACAAUGUACAGUAGCAUAAAACACUGUUGUUCCC